AUUUUUAGUUAGUUCAGUAGUUUUAGUUUUAUCCUGACACUGAGACACUGAGGAUGAGCAGAUGAACGUCCAUCUCUGUGUCCAUAUUCAGUCAUGUGACCAUCAUCACUGCUACACUUCCACUAGAUGAACCUCCAUCACUAAAAUUGAAGUCUGAAGCUGCAGGUUUUUCUGUGAAUCAUGAUGAUUGAGCUUCAUAUGAAGAACAGAAGAUCAUUAUGAGAAACUCCACAACAUCAUCCAUGAUAAAAGAGGUCAAAGGUCAUCAAAUAUAUUUCUUUACACAGUGUUAUAUCAGCACACAACAAGAGAAUGAAUGAGAAAUGCAGGAUAGAAAGUCAAACUGAAUGAUAUCUAUUGUAGAUGAAUAAACUCUUCAAUUGCUUGUGAAAAUAAUUACACUGUUUUUCAAGCAAUAACAACAUAUUUUGUCUAUAAUCUAAAUAAGUGUUGAGAAGAUCUGAGUUUCUUCUAAUAUCAGUGUGUUGAAGUGUUGUUUCUCUCUCUCUGCUGGAGUUUGUGUUCACUCGAGUGGAAUAGAGGUUUUUGUACGACCGUUUCAUUAGAUUGUAUCACUGUGGUGGACUUUCGGUGGAGGAACUAAACUGGUGCUCGCUGGUCCCACAGUGAAGCCCUCAGUGUCUCUGCUGCCGCCCUCUUCUCUGCAGAUCUCUGGAGACUCAGCCGCACUGCUCUGCCUGCUCAGCUCUUACUCUCCACAGGGGGCGCUGGUGAGCUGGACACUGGACGGGUCAGAGGUCACCGAGGGGGUCGUGACCAGCGCAGAGAGCCAGCGGGACGGCCGCUACAGCCGCAGUAGCGUCCUGACCCUCAGCAAAGCACGCUGGGAACAGGGAGAGGUGUA